GACGAACGCUGGCGGCGUGCUUAACACAUGCAAGUCGAACGGAAAGGCCCUGCUUUUGUGGGGUGCUCGAGUGGCGAACGGGUGAGUAACACGUGAGUAACCUGCCCUUGACUUUGGGAUAACUUCAGGAAACUGGGGCUAAUACCGGAUAGGAGCUCCUGCUGCAUGGUGGGGGUUGGAAAGUUUCGGCGGUUGGGGAUGGACUCGCGGCUUAUCAGCUUGUUGGUGGGGUAGUGGCUUACCAAGGCUUUGACGGGUAGCCGGCCUGAGAGGGUGACCGGCCACAUUGGGACUGAGAUACGGCCCAGACUCCUACGGGAGGCAGCAGUGGGGAAUAUUGCACAAUGGGCGGGAGCGUGAUGCAGCAACGCCGCGUGCGGGAUGACGGCCUUCGGGUUGUAAACCGCUUUCGCCUGUGACGAAGCGUGAGUGACGGUAAUGGGUAAAGAAGCACCGGCUAACUACGUG
rnacentral:rRNA from 1 species